AGACUAAAGCUUUAUUCAACUAAAGAUGUUUCUGUCAACGUAAACUUGGAUUGUUAGCAUCACUCCUUCCUUGUGUGAGAUGAUGGAGUGAAUGAAGAGCAUCUAUGAUGAACAAAAGCUUUAUUCAACUGAAGAUGUUUCUAUCAAGGUCAACCCGAAUUGGUAUAUUUUGGACCGCUAUGCUUCACUCCUUCCUUGCAUGAGAUUGUUGAGUAUUUGAUGAAGUGAAUGAAGAGCAUCUAUCACGGACCAAAGCUUUCUUCAACUGAAGAUUUUUCUGUCAAGGUCAACACGGAUUGUUAUGUUUAGGACCGCAAUGCUUCACUCCUUCCUUGCAUGAGAUUAUGGUUUGACUGAAGAGCAUCUAUCACAGAAAAAUAGCCUUCUUUAUCACAAGAUGUUUCUGUCAAGGUCAACUUGGAUUGUUAUAUUUUGGACUGCUGUGCUUCACUCCUCCUUGCAUGAGAUUGUUGAGUAAUUGAUGAAGUGACUGAAGAGGAUGUAUCAUGGACACAAGCUUUAAUAAACUGAAGAUGUUUCUAUCAAGGUCAACCCGGAUUGUUUUGGACCGCUAUGCAUGACUCCCUACUUGCAUGAGAUUGUUGAGUAAUUGAUGAAGUGAAUGAAGAGUAUCUAUCACGGCCACAAGCUUUAUGCAAGUGAAGAUGUUGCUAUCAAGAUCAACCCGGAUCGUUCUGUUUUGGACCUCCAUGCGUCACUCCUUGCACGAGAUUGUUGAGUAAUCGAAGAGUUUGUUUCUAUCAAAGAGAUUGCAACGGAUGACUCCGCGAUUGUCAGAUGUAUUUUGGAAACGUAAACUGAACAUAGUCGGCAAGGUGGCUGUUACCGGUGAACUAAUAGUGGAAUGCAUUGUCUGAUUAUGAUGUAGAACCUAAAUAUUGGUUGGAGUAUUAAUAAUGAUAGCAUUACAUAGGAGUAUGAUGACGAUUAAGUUGAUUACAGUAAUUUUCCAUUGUAAUGAUUGCAAGUAAUGAGUACUAAUAAAAAAUGAAUAAAUAACGAUGAAUUAUAAGCCAAUGAAAUGAGAAGUGUUGAAUUUGUUGUGUUAAAAUUUUAAAUAUAUUUUAAUGCGUUAGUAAUGGUAAGAACAAUUGAAUGGAGAAGCAUAAAAUUCAGGGUGAAUUAU